UUUGAUUGACUUCAACCUGGGCACCUCCUCCAUCCUCAUCCUGUGCCAGGUGGAGAGCACGCCCCAGCCCUCCCACCCGGUACUGCCAGAAGAAGACAAGGAGGAGGAGGAGGAGGUGGAAGAGGAAUCAUUUGAGUGUGCAGUGUGCCGCAGGCAGACCAAGACGCCAGAGAUGUCCGUUCAGCCAUUCAAUUCUGCUGAGGGAAAGAAGUCGU